rnacentral:rRNA from 1 species
UACGUAGGGUGCAAGCGUUAAUCGGAAUUACUGGGCGUAAAGCGCGCGUAGGCGGCUUUUCAAGUCGAUUGUGAAAUCCCCGGGCUUAACCUGGGAACUGCAGUCGAGACUGUCUAGCUAGAGUAUGGGAGAGGGAAGUGGAAUUUCAGGUGUAGCGGUGAAAUGCGUAGAUAUCUGGAGGAAUACCGGUGGCGAAGGCGGCAUCCUGGACCGACAUUGACGCUGAGGAGCGAAAGCUAGGGGAGCAAACAGG